AGUGAACGCUGGCGGUAUGCCUAACACAUGCAAGUCGAACGGCAGCACAGUAAGAGCUUGCUCUUACGGGUGGCGAGUGGCGGACGGGUGAGGAAUACAUCGGAAUCUACUUUUUCGUGGGGGAUAACGUAGGGAAACUUACGCUAAUACCGCAUACGACCUACGGGUGAAAGCAGGGGAUCUUCGGACCUUGCGCGAUUGAAUGAGCCGAUGUCGGAUUAGCUAGUUGGCGGGGUAAAGGCCCGCCAAGGCGACGCUCCGUAGCUGGUCUGAGAGGAUGAACAGCCACACUGGAACUGAGACACGGUACUGACUCUUACGGGCGGCAGCAGUUGCGACUAUUGGCCGAUGGGCGCAAGCCUGAUCAAGCCAUACCGCGUGGGUGAAGAAGGCCUUCGGGUGGUAUAGCGCUUUUGUUGUUGAAGAACAGCAGCAGCAGAAACCACGGCUGUUCUGACGGUACCUAAAGAAGAAGCACCGGCUAACUACGUG
rnacentral:rRNA from 1 species